UCCCUGGAGGUCCAGGGUUGGGACUUGGAACUUUCACUGCCAUGGCCCAGGUUCAAUCCCUGGUUGGGGAA
rnacentral:tRNA from 1 species